GGAAAAAAAGAGAGAGUGGUUCAUUUGUUAGCCUCUCACCCCUCUCCAAACUAAUCACGUGCCAAAUUGAUAAAAUUAUCACACUUUUCCUUUUUGAAUUCAGCAGACGUACCAUGAAAUAUCAUUAGCGCCUCCAUCUGCGUGCGCGUCAUUACCUAUCCGAGCGUAGGAGGUUCGCGCUACGCUCGCUAUCGUCAAAAUCAUUGUUUUACCAGACGAAGCUAUGACAAGUCACCGGUAAAUUUAAUCUAAUGAUAUGCAAAUUUGGGAAAAAAAGACAAUUAGGGCUGCUCAGACUGAUGUUGGCAUGCGUGUCAGAGCGCAGCUCCACCGUCCCCCGAUCUGCGGAUGCGUAUGAAUCAGAUUAGCGGAAUAAUGAGAGCGAGAGAGAGCUUUAGCCUCGAGUGGCAUUUUCAUCCAGGCCUGUUCCAGUGCAGGAGGAAUUUCUGUAAAGGCUUAAUAAUCAGCUCGUGAUUCGCGUUUAUCUCAGACGGAGAGUGUUUUCUGGUCUACGAACGGUCGUUCACGUCCUAAUAUGCGCGAUCGAGCAAACACAAUGGUGCUUCUGAUCUCCUACGAGCAUUCCUGUCACGUUUGAUAAAUAGCACGGGCCGAGAUGUAAAUAAGCUCAUAAGCUUCUACUGUGAUAUCUGCAUAACUGAUCUAUAAAGCUUCACCGCUCCGGUGUACUCCUGAACGCAGACAUGCAGCGACACAGAGCGACUUUGUGUGACUUUUCCUGAACAGUGCGAACACGUUUAACACGGCGCUAACCUCCCACCUAACUCUCACCGUUAAUGCACAGAGACUGCCCGUUUUUCAUGUUACUGUACGUUUCUCUUGGCAGGUCAGUCAGGGCCUCUACUUUCUUCAAACCAGAAGUCAUUUUCUCAUUUCUCAUAAUUAAGAGUUAAUUGGGAGUGCACCUGUGGUUGUAUUUAAAGUGCUUACCUUUACAGCCAGUGCCUUUUAACCCUUGAUACCAUGAGACAAUCUGCGGACCUCCGCAAGUCCAGUUCCUCCUGAGAGGCAGGUACCACGGGCAUCUGUACAAACUUUGGCCCUAAAGAACAAGCUUUAGUCAAGUUAAGUUAAGGCUCUGUGUUACUGAUUAGAAGGUCGGGAGUUCAAGCCCCAGCACUGCCACAGUCUGGGUUACUGAUCGGAAGGUCUGGGGUUCAAGCCCCAGCACUGCCACAGUCUGGGUUACUGAUCGGAAGGUCGGGGGUUCAAGCCCCGGCACUGCCACAGUCUGGGUUACUGAUCGGAAGCUCGGGGGUUCAAGCCCCAGCACUGCCACAGUCUGGGUUACUGAUCGGAAGCUCGGGGGUUCAAGCCCCGGCACUACCACAGUCUGGGUUACUGAUCGGAAGGUCGGGCGUUCAAGCCCCAGCACUGCCACAGUCUGGGUUACUGAUCGGAAGCUCGGGGGUUCAAGCCCCGGCACUGCCACAGUCUGGGUUACUGAUCGGAAGCUCGGGGGUUCAAGCCCCGGCACUACCACAGUCUGGGUUACUGAUCGGUAGAUCCAGCACUGCCAAGCUGCCACUGUUGUGCCCUUAACCCUCUCUGCUCCAGGGGCGCUGUAUCAUGGCUGACCCUGUGCACUGACCCCAACCUCCUGACAUGCUGGAGGAAAGAAUGACAUGUGAAGAAAAGAAUUUCACUUUGCACAUGCAUAGGUGAUCAGUAAAGACUUUUACCCUAUCCAGUAAAGACUCAUUUCCAUUAUCCUUAGUCCUAAAGGUUCGACUGAACCCCUAGACAACAAAGGAACUGGUGACGGAACUGGAGGCAUCAAGUACCCAAAUAUGUACAGCCACCUUUAAGAGAUUCUUACAUCGCUAUGUCCUGAGAGGCUGUACGGAAGAAGCCACUACUCCAAGACAGGCAUUUGCAUUAGAUCAGCAGCAUUUCCUCAGGUCAAAUAAAACAUAAUGGGCCAUAAUGAUCAAUUGUGAAGCAUGGGGGUGGCAGCAUCAUGUUAUGGGGAUGUUUUGCUCGGAAAGGGGCUGGUGCAUUUAUAUAAAGUAUAACCUCAAGACAUAAGACAGAAAGUUAAAACUUGGGUCUUCCAGCAGAACAGUGAUCCUAAGCAUACGUCCCAC
ensembl:lncRNA